UGGGGAAUAUUGGACAAUGGGCGCAAGCCUGAUCCAGCCAUGCCGCGUGUGUGAAGAAGGCCUUUUGGUUGUAAAGCACUUUAAGCGAGGAGGAGGCUACUUGGAUUAAUACUCUAGGAUAGUGGACGUUACUCGCAGAAUAAGCACCGGCUAACUCUGUGCCAGCAGCCGCGGUAAUACAGAGGGUGCGAGCGUUAAUCGGAUUUACUGGGCGUAAAGCGUGCGUAGGCGGCUUCUUAAGUCGGAUGUGAAAUCCCUGAGCUUAACUUAGGAAUUGCAUUCGAUACUGGGAAGCUAGAGUAUGGGAGAGGAUGGAAGAAUUCCAGAUGUAGCGGUGAAAUUCGUAGAGAUCUGGAGGAAUACCGAUGGCGAAGGCAGCCAUCUGGCCUAAUACUGACGCUGAGGUACGAAAGCAUGGGGAGCAAACAGG
rnacentral:rRNA from 1 species